rnacentral:misc_RNA from 1 species
CGCUCGAAUGCCAUCGAAGUAGAAGUAGUCAGCUGUGGGGCCCCAUGCCAGAUUGGGGAUAUGACGUGGGCAGGGGAGAGUACCCAAGCCCCAAAGCGCUGAAACGUACGCACUCGGCGAGCUUAGUGGCUCGCGAUUUUCCUAUCACGGUGUGUGUCAGCCAGUGCAUGUUAAGUUUUUUCAAGUUUUCUUGGCUUUUUCUGCUUCUCUCCCGUCUCGUUUUGAUUCUCCCCAGUAUUACAAAAACGCAAAAAAUAGAAACCCAGAAAUCAUCUGAAAAGGACCAGAAAAUCUUCUACACUGAACAAAUUCAAGCAGCAAAUUCAAUUAUUGUAUUUUUUAUUCCAUUCCGGUAUCGGGUUUUAUAUGUGUAUCCAAUUUUUUACCAUAUCUCGUGCGUCUUACUUAAGGUCUUAACGUUUCGUUAGUGUUAGCAAGCCGCGAUCGUAAGAUCUCAGCAAGAUUAGUGAGAAUUUUCUGUUUGUUUGGAUAGAACAAAUCGUGAUUUGCAAAAAUGAAUGAAAUUAACCCGGACUUGAGUUGUACAAAGGCUAACAAAGGAGUUUCCACCAGUGCGACGAAUCAAUUGAGUUCCAGUAAGCAAUCCUCGCCGUUGGCCUCAAUGUGUCCUUCAGUGACGGUGUGUGAUGAUCGCACCUCAUGCAUCUUGGGGGAGCUGAAUAAGAUCUACGAGGAACGACUGGCGGAUAUUGACGAGCAAACAAAUGGAAAUUUCGAGCUCAAAUAUCUCACUUACAAAGAAUGGGUUGAGAUGCUUUUGAAGCUAAUAAAAGACCUCAUUGAUGUCGUUCAAGAGCUUGAGUACGAAGCAUCAAGUCGUAUUGACUUGCUUGAAAAAAAAUUGCAAUCAGAAGGUGGCCAAGGAUGUAAUACAACUGAAAUUGGCAAUCUUAAAAAUGACGUAGCUAAUCUGGUGGAACUCAUCCGUCGUACCCUAGAGGAGGGCAAGUGGAAUUUAGAAGGCUUGAAUUUCAGUACGUUGAAACUAAAAGAUAUUUUUGGACAAAAAAUAGAGGUUACAGAUGCUCCUAACGUACAAGCAUACCAGAAUGAUUCACCUCGUGGUACUGAAACAAAUGACGUGAAAAAAUUAAAAUCGCAAAUUUUGUGCCGAAAUCAUGAAAUUAAGAAACUUGAAUCUGAAAAACAUACAUUAUACACUGAGUUGCAAAGAAAAGAUUUAAUGUUAUCGAACUACUCAUCAAAAAUUAAGGAACUAGAAAAAGAGUCGAAAAUACCAAAGGAUCGAAAGAAAAAUGUUACGAUCACUUCUCAGCAGGAUGAAACCUUACCUGGUACUGAUGAGGACAAAGUUUUCAAAGCAUGUAUAGCGGAGCUGAAAGAUUGCCUCCGAGAAAAGGAAGUUCAAUUGGCUGAAAAAUUAAAGCAAAAUGAAUGCCUUCAAUCAGAACUUCGAUUUUUCAAAAAUCAAGCAGGACAGAAAGAAAAGGCUGUUGCUAAUAUGCGAGCUUUAGCUUUUGAAGUAGCCGAUAAACAUGAUCAGAUGAUAGAGCUGCGAAACCAGGUCAAUUCACUGGAGGAGGAGUUGAAGAAGGCCCAUAAGAAAGUACAGUUUAAGGACAACGUUAUUCGGGAACUGCGCCGAGAAAUUAAAAAUUCCACAAAGAUCGAGGAGAACAGACCAGUAUGUCAGUGCACUAGUGGAGUGAAAGCAGAUUCUGAUACUGAACGGCAAUCAUUCAAAUCGGUGGCUUUCAACGAUUUGGAGUGUACUCAACGCACGGAUUAUACCAUGGAUACUGCUGUUGACUCGGAAAUGGCUAAAUUAGGUCAUUCCGCCAGAGCUGAAGAAGAACGUUGCAUACGUGUUCUGAAGGAAGAACUGGAUGAAUUACUUAAAUAUCAACACUGCCAUCAUGAGUCAAUAGAAGACCAAAAACGAAUGUUAGCUACACAACACGCACGAUUGAAAGAACUUACGCAUAAAAUGCUGAGUGAUCUUUCUAAGAGCCGUAACAAACUAUUUUAUCUAAGAACACACUUACUAGCUCUAAGUGAUACCAGUGGUUCUCCAGAAUUAAGUCCGAAACAGGAAGAUUCCGGAUACAUAUCGCCUGAAGACAUGGCGACUGAGUGCCAUUUGAUUGACACACUUCGAUAUCGCAUAAAUAACAUAAAAACAGAAAACGAUUGUCUCAAGGAGCAAGUUAGAAAACUAAAUAAUGAAGUGAUGAGCAAAACCUCUUCGUCCACAUGUAGAUGCAAAGGAUAUGAAAAUAGUGAUAAAAUAUUGCAGGAGGUUGCCAGUGCAUUGUCCAAUAUAUGCGGUAAAGAAGUUCCUUACGAAGUAUCCGGUAGAGCUUUAACUUGUGAAGGUGAAGUCCAUCCGAUUUGCCAAGCCAUGAUUAAUUUGGAAGCGGAAUUAAACGAGAAAAAUCAAUCAAUAUGUCGCAUGGAAGAGAGGCUAAGUGUGAAAGAAUGUGAAAUAAAAAAGUUACAAGAACAGCUAUUCGCUUUGGAGGAGGAUUGUCAUAGUAAAAACCAACAGAUCGUAGACCUACAAAUAGCAGUGGAAUUUCACGUUACCUCAGUUGAAAGGCUACAAGGCGCAAAUCAACAUUUAGAAGAUCAAUUAGCUGGCUUUAAGCGAAUGAUUAUUCAAUUGCAAUCACGAAAUGCCACAUACUUUCAAGAGUUAAAAGAAAAAGAUGCCAAAUAUAAAGAACUUUCGGACCAAUACCAAUUACUAACACAAUCUCUACAAUCCUUAAGGACAAACUGUGCCUGUGGAGCGUUGCAAAUAGUGUAUCCAGUUGUUGCCCAAGCAGAGCGUCUUGCCUACAUCCUAUCUACUGAGAAAACCGAUGAAGGCUAUGCACUACAAGAGUAUGCUAGUAUCCAGCAAAGUCAAAUCCUGGUUAACGAAAUGGACGACCAAGUGAGGACAAUGCAAAGAAAAAUUGAUUUGCUCGAAAAGACACUGGAGAAGCGCGAGCAGGAUCUCCAGGAGACCAAUGCUCGUAUGCUUCAGUGCGCCCAGCAGAAUGGUGAAUUGACCACAGAGUUGUUAAUCUUUCAAGAUCAAGUAUUUUACCUUCAAGCAGAAGACGAACGGUUGCGUGGUGUUGUAAAUCGUUUGAAUGCCGAGAUUGCUGAACUAAGGAGUAACCGAAGAGAACGGGAAAGCAGCCUUAUUGCUGAACUGAAUCGUUUGCGUCAAUCCAUGGAUCAGCAUGUUGCUGCUUUAUCGAAAGCAAAUGACACUAUCAAUUCGCUCGAAAGGCAGGCACAAGGCUAUCGGAGGCAAGGCGAUGUGGCAAACAAGGAGGUACGAGAACGCAAUGUUGAAGGCCGAGUUAUACAAGGCAAGAGAAUGUGCAGCAACGCAAGACGGCAUUGAGAAAAGUUUACGGAAUCAGUUGAUGCAGACACAGAGUGAAAUGACAUUUAUGAAGUGCGAUUUGGAACGAUAUACGUGCCUUAUGCAAGAUAUUGAAAAUUUGAAGAAACACUGCAGUCGCCUGAAAGAAGCAAAUUACGAUCUAGUUAGAAAAUAUAAUGACCUCGUGGAAGACUACAAUAAUUUAGAAGAAGAGUAUAG